CCUACGGGAGGCAGCAGUGAGGAAUAUUGGUCAAUGGCCGGAAGGCUGAACCAGCCAAGCCGCGUGAAGGACGAAGGUGCCAAGCAUUGUAAACUUCUUUUGUCAAGGGACAAAAUCAGGCUCGAGAGCCUGACCGAGGGUACUUGAAGAAAAAGCAUCGGCUAACUCCGUGCCAGCAGCCGCGGUAAUACGGAGGAUGCGAGCGUUAUCCGGAUUUAUUGGGUUUAAAGGGUGCGUAGGCGGGCUGUUAAGUCAGCGGUAAAAGCCCGGGGCUCAACCCCGGCGAGCCGUUGAAACUGGCUGUCGUGAGAUGGCGAGAGGUAUGCGGAAUGCGCGGUGUAGCGGUGAAAUGCUUAGAUAUUGCGCAGAACUCCGAUUGCGAAGGCAGCAUACCGGCUGCGAUCUGACGCUGAGGCACGAAAGCGUGGGUAUCGAACAGGAUUAGAUACCCUAGUAGUC
rnacentral:rRNA from 1 species